rnacentral:rRNA from 1 species
AUUGAACGCUGGCGGCAUGCUUUACACAUGCAAGUCGAACGGUAACAGGCCGCAAGGUGCUGACGAGUGGCGAACGGGUGAGUAAUGCAUCGGAACGUGCCCAGUCGUGGGGGAUAACGCAGCGAAAGCUGUGCUAAUACCGCAUACGAUCUAUGGAUGAAAGCGGGGGACCGUAAGGCCUCGCGCGAUUGGAGCGGCCGAUGUCAGAUUAGGUAGUUGGUGGGGUAAAGGCUCACCAAGCCAACGAUCUGUAGCUGGUCUGAGAGGACGACCAGCCACACGUGGACUGAGACACGGCCCAGACGCCUACGGGGGGCAGCAGUGGGGAAUUUUGGACAAUGGGCGCAAGCCUGAUCCAGCAAUGCCGCGUGCAGGAAGAAGGCCUUCGGGUUGUAAACUGCUUUCGUACGGAACGAAAAGGUUUGGGUUAAUACCCUGGGCCGAUGACGGUACCGUAAGAAUAAGCACCGGCUAACUACGUGCCAGCAGCCGCCGUAAUAC